AUGGUCUUUCUGGAAUGAUGGGGGCGGGGGGAUGUUUGCAGAGUGGUGUGGGCUGGAAUCCUUACUGGAUGUCUUUUUCCUUUUGCCCUCAAGAGUCUUUGGGAGGCUCAGGAAGGGACUGGUGAGUGACCUCAGCAGCCCACCAGCAGGUAGCCAAGGGUCGCCCUCUCUUCAGCCCCUGAUGCCUCUUCCAGAAAAAACAAACCACAAAGCCAGCUGAAGAAAGUGGGGGGAAGGUCUCCAGAAGAAGGUGUGUGCAACCAUACCUUUAAUCCCAGAUGACCUUGAACUCAGAGAUCUCCUUAUCUUAAUCUUCUGGAAUUCAUAGCCACUAUACCUCAAGAUCUCCAUGCCAAGAUCCAGGUCAGAAACUUGUAUCUCCCAGCCUCCAGAUUAGGAUCACAGCAUGGGGCCUGCUGGGACUCGUCUCCUGCUAUGCUUCAGCUCCUGCCCAAUCACUUACCUGUGCCAGGAGAAGCCUCUGGACAUGCCUGGGCAGCCUCUGGACAUGCACUGCUCCCAUUCCUCGCUGAGAGGGCAUCUCCCCGAGUGCCUCUCCAUCCCAGUAGACUCUCCAGAUGUGCCCAGUCCUCAACUGGUGUGGCCUCACCAGAGAGACUCAGACCAAACAGGCCUCCACAGCCUCUCUCUAGACACUUUCUGGGAAACCACAGUGGAAUACAAAAGGUCCUCAUUUGCCCUGAACCCUGGGAAGCCCUGUGGCAUUGGUUCAUGAGUGCUGUGGUUGGUUAUUUGGAACUUAAUUCUCUUGGUAUUUGCCACUUCCCAGUUGUCCCCUUUACUGUUCACAGUCCCCACCUAUAAUCCUCGGCUUCCUGGCACUUCCGGAGCCCAUAUUAACGUACCAAUUUUUUGUACCCCAUUUAGGGCACCAACUGUUCUGAUCUCUUGAAGAGCUCCUCAGGCAACCUUCUGUUUCUAGCAAGAUGAUACACCCAAGCCUUGAUGACAAGGCUUGGCUCUCAACCUCCUUGCUCCCCACCUCCUGUGAAAUACACAAAGAAAUUCAGUGAUCAUCGGGGAUGCUCUGGUCCAAACACUACCUGCCAGCCAGACGCAGGAGAUGGAUGGCUCAGCAGUAAUCGUGCUGCUUGAGCUUGGUGUCUAAUGGGGACAGUAGUGACAGGAAGUUCACAGGGACUGGAAGACAUGAGUUCUCUGAGGGAAAGGAAGGUGAAGCCUGGUGCUUAGGACCCUCAGGAGACCAUAGGAUGUGAGAAGGCUCAAGACACCCAGAGGUGGGGUCAGAAACAGGGCAAAGGAGACCAAGCAUGGGAGAGCUGCAGUGGACGUGUACAGACAGGAGAAGCAGGCCCUAAAGAAUCCCUGAGGCGGCAGAGAGGCUGGGCUGUGGAACUUUUUAAUUACUUUGCAUUAGGGGACUGUAGAGACCCAGAAGCCCACCCUUCCCCUCCCCUCAUCAGCUUAGCCCCAACAUAUGGUGGCUACCAAAGUAGUUAAAUCGGCUCUUGGUAGAAAAGGAAAGAGAUUCCUCCCAGGCUCUUCCCAGGGUCCACGGCCACACUCCAGGAGGGCUCAACUCCAGGGCAAGGCAGCUGGGACAGCAGGCAGCUGAAGGAGGACUAUUACUGCACCUUAGGGAAGAGUGCAGUGGCGAGUGGGGAGGACUCUGCUGGGACCCGGGGGUCAUGUGCAUUCCCAUUUAGUUGAGCUCUGCUUAAUCCGGGCCUAGGCUCACAGUAAUGGGGAACGAGGAGAGGCUCCCAUCAGAGACCAAGAAGAUGACAGACUCUCUGUAAAGGCUGUCAGAGGGGUCUGCAUGACCAACCACACCUGCUCCUGUUCCUUUGGGGCUCUUGUGACCUCCCUGUCUUCUUGUGAGAUCUUAUGUUCCUCCAACCCUGAGAGCUACAAACCAAUCUCCGGAAUAAAAAAAUCUGUCCCU
rnacentral:lncRNA from 1 species